UUAGCAUAAAUUAUAUGAUAUUAUAGUAUCAAAUAAAAUCAUAACAAUCAAUAAAUAUAAAUAUGUAUAUAUUAGCAUAUAAAGCAUCAUAAACUCAAAGAUGAUUUUUCAGAUUAUUGUGACUAUUGUUAUGACUUUAUAGAAGGUACACUGCAAUGGAUUAUACAAGAAGAUUUACACAAUGAGAAAUUCUCGAAGCAG
rnacentral:lncRNA from 1 species